rnacentral:rRNA from 1 species
AAGGGCACACGGUGAAUGCCUUGGCGUCGGAAGGCGAAGAAGACGUGGAAGGCUGCGAUAAGCCUCGGGGAGCUGCCAAACAAGCUACGAUCCGAGGAUGUCUGAAUGGGGAAACCCACCGGAUUAAUACCCGGGUACCGAAAGGGAGCUAACGGGGGGAACUGAAACAUCUAAGUACCCCCAGGAAAAAAAGCAAAAGCGAUUCCCUCAGUAGCGGCGAGCGAACAGGGACAAUAGCCCAAACCAGAUAUACGAAAUAGCCUGCAAGCGUUGUAUAUCCGGAGUUGUAGGAUUCUCUGUACUUUCAUUGCAGCGAAAAGUGAGAAGUCAAAAACUCAGAACAUAACCAAAGGACCUGGAAAGGUCCGCCAAAGACGGUGAUAGCCCGGUCGGUAAAAUGUCCUGAACUUCUUAUGAGAACACCUGAGUACCGCGAGACACGUGAAACCUCGCGGGAACCUGGGGAGGACCAUCUCCCAAGGCUAAAUACUAUCCGACGACCGAUA